rnacentral:rRNA from 1 species
AUUGAACGCUGGCGGCAGGCCUAACACAUGCAAGUCGAGCGAGCGGCGGACGGGUGAGUAAUGUCUGGGAAAAUGCCUGAUGGAGGGGGAUAACUCCUGGAAACGGUAGCUAAUACCGCAUACCAUCAGAGGUGCCCAGAUGGGAUUAGCUAGUAGGUGGGGUAAUGGCUCACCUCGGCGACGAUCCCUAGCUGGUCUGAGAGGAUAACCAGCAACACUGGACCUGAGACACGGUCCAGACGCCUACGGGAGGCAGCAGUGGGGAAGAUUGCACAAGGGGCGAAAGCCUGAUGCAGCCAUGCCGCGUGUGUGAAGAAGGCCUUAGGGUUGUAAAGCACUUUCAGCGGGGAGGCGUUACCCGCAGAAGAAGCACCGGCUAACUCCGUGCCAGCCGCCGCGGUAAUUC